UACGUAGGGUGCUAGCGUUGUCCGGAUUUAUUGGGCGUAAAGAGCUCGUAGGCGGUCUGUCGCGUCUGCUGUGAAAACUCGGGGCUUAACCCCGGGCCUGCAGUGGGUACGGGCAGACUAGAGUGCGGUAGGGGAGACUGGAAUUCCUGGUGUAGCGGUGAAAUGCGCAGAUAUCAGGAGGAACACCGGUGGCGAAGGCGGGUCUCUGGGCCGUAACUGACGCUGAGGAGCGAAAGCGUGGGGAGCGAACAGG
rnacentral:rRNA from 1 species